rnacentral:rRNA from 1 species
UACGUAGGGUGCGAGCGUUAAUCGGAAUUACUGGGCGUAAAGCGUGCGCAGGCGGUUUUGUAAGCCAGAUGUGAAAUUCCCGGGCUCAACCUGGGGGCUGCGCUUGAUACUGAUUGGCUUGAAUGCGGGAGAGGAUAGUGGAAUUCCCAGUGUAGAGGUGAAAUUCGUAGAUAUUGGGAAGAACACCGGUGGCGAAGGCGGCUAUCUGGCCCGUAAUUGACGCUGAGGCGCGAAAGCGUGGGGAGCGAACAGG